rnacentral:rRNA from 1 species
UACAGAGGGUGCAAGCGUUAAUCGGAAUUACUGGGCGUAAAGCGUGCGUAGACGGUUACAUAAGUCGGGUGUGAAAGCCCCGGGCUCAACCUGGGAAUUGCAUUCGAGACUGCGUAGCUAGGGUGCGGAAGAGGGAAGCGGAAUUUCCGGUGUAGCGGUGAAAUGACGUAGAUAUCGGAAGGAACACCAGUGGCGAAAGCGGACU